UCGAACGGUAACAGGAAGCAGCUUGCUGCUUUGCUGACGAGUGGCGGACGGGUGAGUAAUGUCUGGGAAACUGCCUGAUGGAGGGGGAUAACUACUGGAAACGGUAGCUAAUACCGCAUAACGUCGCAAGACCAAAGAGGGGGACCUUCGGGCCUCUUGCCAUCGGAUGUGCCCAGAUGGGAUUAGCUAGUAGGUGGGGUAAAGGCUCACCUAGGCGACGAUCCCUAGCUGGUCUGAGAGGAUGACCAGCCACACUGGAACUGAGACACGGUCCAGACUCCUACGGGAGGCAGCAGUGGGGAAUAUUGCACAAUGGGCGCAAGCCUGAUGCAGCCAUGCCGCGUGUAUGAAGAAGGCCUUCGGGUUGUAAAGUACUUUCAGCGGGGAGGAAGGGAGUAAAGUUAAUACCUUUGCUCAUUGACGUUACCCGCAGAAGAAGCACCGGCUAACUCCGUGCCAGCAGCCGCGGUAAUACGGAGGGUGCAAGCGUUAAUCGGAAUUACUGGGCGUAAAGCGCACGCAGGCGGUUUGUUAAGUCAGAUGUGAAAUCCCCGGGCUCAACCUGGGAACUGCAUCUGAUACUGGCAAGCUUGAGUCUCGUAGAGGGGGGUAGAAUUCCAGGUGUAGCGGUGAAAUGCGUAGAGAUCUGGAGGAAUACCGGUGGCGAAGGCGGCCCCCUGGACGAAGACUGACGCUCAGGUGCGAAAGCGUGGGGAGCAAACAGGAUUAGAUACCCUGGUAGUCCACGCCGUAAACGAUGUCGACUUGGAGGUUGUGCCCUUGAGGCGUGGCUUCCGGAGCUAACGCGUUAAGUCGACCGCCUGGGGAGUACGGCCGCAAGGUUAAAACUCAAAUGAAUUGACGGGGGCCCGCACAAGCGGUGGAGCAUGUGGUUUAAUUCGAUGCAACGCGAAGAACCUUACCUGGUCUUGACAUCCACGGAAGUUUUCAGAGAUGAGAAUGUGCCUUCGGGAACCGUGAGACAGGUGCUGCAUGGCUGUCGUCAGCUCGUGUUGUGAAAUGUUGGGUUAAGUCCCGCAACGAGCGCAACCCUUAUCCUUUGUUGCCAGCGGUCCGGCCGGGAACUCAAAGGAGACUGCCAGUGAUAAACUGGAGGAAGGUGGGGAUGACGUCAAGUCAUCAUGGCCCUUACGACCAGGGCUACACACGUGCUACAAUGGCGCAUACAAAGAGAAGCGACCUCGCGAGAGCAAGCGGACCUCAUAAAGUGCGUCGUAGUCCGGAUUGGAGUCUGCAACUCGACUCCAUGAAGUCGGAAUCGCUAGUAAUCGUGGAUCAGAAUGCCACGGUGAAUACGUUCCCGGGCCUUGUACACACCGCCCGUCACACCAUGGGAGUGGGUUGCAAAAGAAGUAGGUAGCUUAACCUUCGGGAGGGCGCUUACCACUUUGUGAUUCAUGACUGGGGUGAAGUCGUAACAAGGUAACCGUAGGGGAACCUGCGGUUGGAUCACCUCCUUACCUUAAAGAAGC
rnacentral:rRNA from 1 species